rnacentral:rRNA from 1 species
UGGGGAAUUUUGGACAAUGGGCGAAAGCCUGAUCCAGCAAUGCCGCGUGUGUGAAGAAGGCCUUCGGGUUGUAAAGCACUUUUGUCCGGAAAGAAAUCCUCUGGGUUAAUACCUCGGGGGGAGUGACGGUACCGGAAGAAUAAGCACCGGCUAACUACGUGCCAGCAGCCGCGGUAAUACGUAGGGUGCAAGCGUUAAUCGGAAUUACUGGGCGUAAAGCGUGCGCAGGCGGUUUUGUAAGACGGAUGUGAAAUCCCCGGGCUUAACCUGGGAACUGCAUUCGUGACUGCAAGGCUAGAGUAUGGCAGAGGGGGGUAGAAUUCCACGUGUAGCAGUGAAAUGCGUAGAGAUGUGGAGGAAUACCGAUGGCGAAGGCAGCCCCCUGGGCCAAUACUGACGCUCAUGCACGAAAGCGUGGGGAGCAAACAGGAUUAGAUACCCUGGGUAGUCCACGCCCUAAACGAUGUCAACUAGUUGUUGGGGAUUCAUUUCCUUAGUAACGUAGCUAACGCGUGAAGUUGACCGCCUGGGGAGUACGGUCGCAAGAUU